UACGGGGGGGGCAAGCGUUGUUCGGAAUUACUGGGCGUAAAGGGUUCGUAGGUGGCUUGUUAAGUCAGACGUGAAAUCCCUCGGCUCAACCGGGGAACUGCGUCUGAGACUGAUGAGCUCGAGUGCAGGAGAGGAACGCGGAAUUCCAGGUGUAGCGGUGAAAUGCGUAGAUAUCUGGAGGAACACCGGUGGCGAAGGCGGCAUCCUGGACCAACACUGACGCUGAGGAGCGAAAGCCAGGGGAGCAAACGGG
rnacentral:rRNA from 1 species